UCUAAUAUGGCAGAUAAGUGCAGUAGAUUUAAGCUCUAAAUAUGAAGAAUUUCAACCUUUUAUUAGAA
rnacentral:tRNA from 1 species